AACUUUUGGCAACGGAUCACUUGGCUCUCGCAACGAUGAAGAACGCAGCGAAAUGCGAUACGUAUGUGAAUUGCAGAAUUCCGUGAAUCAUCGAAUCUUUGAACGCAACUUGCACUCUACCUUGGUAGAGUAUGCCUGUUUGAGAAUCUAUAGUAUUUCUUGCCCCUCUUUCUCUUCAUUGAGAGUGAGACGGCAGAUUUGGGAGUUUCCCGGCGCAAGCAGGGAUCUCUUUAAAUAGGUAGCUGUUUUUGUCAGCGCCAACUGUUUGAAUAGACCUCGGUCUUUACUGCAGUUGAACAAGCGUUGAAUAUAUAAAGACAGUCCAUAAAUUUAAAGCUUCGUCGCAAGGCGAAACUUGAACCAUGGUCUCAAAUCAGGUAGGAGGACCCGCUGAACUUAAGCAUAUCAAUAAGCGGAGGCU
rnacentral:misc_RNA from 1 species